AUUGAACGCUGGCGGCAUGCCUUACACAUGCAAGUCGAACGGUAACAGGUCUUCGGAUGCUGACGAGUGGCGAACGGGUGAGUAAUACAUCGGAACGUGCCCGAGAGUGGGGGAUAACGAGGCGAAAGCUUUGCUAAUACCGCAUACGAUCUCAGGAUGAAAGCAGGGGACCGCAAGGCCUUGCGCUCACGGAGCGGCCGAUGGCAGAUUAGGUAGUUGGUGGGAUAAAAGCUUACCAAGCCGACGAUCUGUAGCUGGUCUGAGAGGACGACCAGCAACACUGGGACUGAGACACGGCCCAGACUCCUACGGGAGGCAGCAGUGGGGAGUUUUGGACAAUGGGCGCAAGCCUGAUCCAGCCAUGCCGCGUGCAGGAUGAAGGCCUUCGGGUUGUAAACUGCUUUUGUACGGAACGAAAAGACUCUGGUUAAUACCUGGGGUCCAUGACGGUACCGUAAGAAUAAGCACCGGCUAACUACGUGCCAGCCGCCGCGGUAAUAC
rnacentral:rRNA from 1 species